rnacentral:rRNA from 1 species
ACUCCUACGGGAGGCAGCAGUAGGGAAUCUUCCACAAUGGGCGCAAGCCUGAUGGAGCAACACCGCGUGAGUGAAGAAGGGUUUCGGCUCGUAAAGCUCUGUUGUUAAAGAAGAACACGUAUGAGAGUAACUGUUCAUACGUUGACGGUAUUUAACCAGAAAGUCACGGCUAACUACGUGCCAGCAGCCGCGGUAAUACGUAGGUGGCAAGCGUUAUCCGGAUUUAUUGGGCGUAAAGAGAGUGCAGGCGGUUUUCUAAGUCUGAUGUGAAAGCCUUCGGCUUAACCGGAGAAGUGCAUCGGAAACUGGAUAACUUGAGUGCAGAAGAGGGUAGUGGAACUCCAUGUGUAGCGGUGGAAUGCGUAGAUAUAUGGAAGAACACCAGUGGCGAAGGCGGCUACCUGGUCUGCAACUGACGCUGAGACUCGAAAGCAUGGGUAGCGAACAGGAUUAGAUACCCUGGUAGGAUAGA